UACGUGGGGGGCAAGCGUUGUUCGGAAUUACUGGGGGUAAAGGGCUUGUAGGUGGCCAACUAAGUCAGACGUGAAAUCCCUCAGCUUAACUGGGGAACUGCUUCUGAUACUGGAUGGCUUGAGUUUGGGAGAGGGAUGCGGAAUUCCAGGUGUAGCGGUGAAAUGCGUAGAUAUCUGGAGGAACACCGGUGGCGAAGGCGGCAUCCUGGACCAACACUGACACUGAAAAGCGAAAGCCAGGGGAGCAAACGGG
rnacentral:rRNA from 1 species